rnacentral:snRNA from 2 species
AUUUCUUCGACAAGUAUUUUCUGAUAUAUGGACCAUGUGCCCACAAUGAUAUUAAAUUUAUUUUUUAUGGGGGUGGGCCUACCACAGUAGCUUGCUACUGGGGUCCAUGCGCGUCGCUUGGGUGUUGCACUAUUGCCCUGGCUUGUGCACCCCAA